GGGGGUAUAGUUCACUGGUAAAGCGCAUGACUGGCAUGCAUGAGGUUCUGCAUACGAUCCCCAGUACCUCCG
rnacentral:tRNA from 1 species